rnacentral:rRNA from 1 species
UACGUAGGGUCCGAGCGUUGUCCGGAAUUAUUGGGCGUAAAGGGCUCGUAGGCGGUUCGUCACGUCGGGAGUGAAAACUCGGAGCUUAACUCCGAGCCUGCUUCCGAUACGGGCAGACUAGAGGUAGGCAGGGGAGAGCGGAACUCCUGGUGUAGCGGUGGAAUGCGCAGAUAUCAGGAAGAACACCAAAGGCGAAGGCAGUGUCCUGGCUGGUAACUGACGCUCAGGUGCGAAAGCUAGGGGAGCGAACAGG